rnacentral:lncRNA from 1 species
GGGGGGAACCAGCUGCCAUGUUGUGAGAUGCUCAAGCAGCUGUAUGGAGGAGCCCAUGUGGAAAAAAACUGAGCACCCCUCACAACCGAUAUUCCCUUACCAGGAGUGUGGCAAGCCUCCCUGGAAGCAGACUCUUCAGCACCAGUCAAGCUUUCAGAUGCUGCAGCCGUGGGCAAUGACUUUGCUGCAAUCUUAUGAGAGACUAAGCCAGAACCACCCAGCUAAGUGGCUCCCACAUUCAUGACUCACGAAAACUGUCUUGGUUUUGAGCUAUAAAUUCUUGCUGCUAUCUUGGACUUUUCCUGAGAAUCUGAAUCCUUCAGCACAUCCUAUCACAUUCCACCAAUUCUUGACCUUCUGUUAUCCUCACCAGCCCCCCGGGCUUUGUUCAAAGUCCUGCAGGGAGGCUGCAGAGACAAUGGAAUGCACAGGCUGUGGUAGCUCAGCUGCGGGGACUGUCCAGGCGCCUAACUGGUUGUGUGAGGCUUUCAGAGAACGCUGCUCCUGUGCUGGGCUUCAGAGAGAGGGCUUGCUGCAGCACAGUGGGGUGGCCUCCUGCUGGUGGCCCAGGCCACAGGGAUAUGGAAACAUGUGUCUAGUCUAGAGCUGCGGGCUUGGGUGACCUUGAGGCAAGGGAGGCACCUGGGGGCUAAAAUAUAAGGAGGCACUCAUUC